rnacentral:sRNA from 1 species
ACUCCUUCAACUCCUGAAGAGAGGACAGAAGUCGCAACAUUGAACACUCACCCCGCCACAGUAACCAAGGCGGUCAUUAAGAGGAGAAACAGCAAACUAAGCCUUUCUCCAACCUGGGGUGAUGCAACAGGGACCCGGGCGGGGAAGACAAUGAGGGUCUGGGGAAUAGGACAGUGAGCAAGUGAGCAGGACCUUGGGAGAGAGAGGAGGGACUGGGGCACACUGAAGAAAAACUGGGGGAAGGUGUAUGAAGGGAGCUGCGAGCUGAGGUCUGACUUUGAUUAAAAAAAAAAAAAAAAACUGUCAGCCAUUGUAUUAAUGUUUUGAUGUGGCAGCCAGUCCUCCGACCCUCUCCCUAGCUUCCCAGACCCCUUGCUCUUGUCCCACUUUGCCACCCAUGAGUUGAUUUAAUGGCUUAAAUAGUGCUGAAAUAUUGGUGGCCAAUCUGCCUCCACUCUCAGCCACAGAGAUCCCUUUUUUGGAGGGAUGACUCGAGAUGAAGAUGAUGAUGAGGAAGAAGAGGAAGAAGGGGGCUCAUGGGGCCGUGGGAACCCAAGGUUCCAUAGUCCUCAGCACCCCCCUGAGGAAUUUGGCUUCGGCUUCAGCUUCAGCCCAGGAGGAGGGAUACGUUUCCACGAUAACUUCGGCUUUGAUGACCUAGUACGAGAUUUCGAUAGCAUCUUCAGCGAUAUGGGGGCCUGGACCUUGCCUUCCCAUCCUCCUGAACUUCCAGGUCCUGAGUCAGAGACACCUGGUGAGAGACUACGGGAGGGACAGACACUUCGGGACUCAAUGCUUAAGUAUCCAGAUAGUCACCAGCCCAGGAUCUUUGGGGGGGUCUUGGAGAGUGAUGCAAGAAGUGAAUCCCCCCAACCAGCACCAGACUGGGGCUCCCAGAGGCCAUUUCAUAGGUUUGAUGAUGUAUGGCCUAUGGACCCCCAUCCUAGAACCAGAGAGGACAAUGAUCUUGAUUCCCAGGUUUCCCAGGAGGGUCUUGGCCCGGUUCUACAGCCCCAGCCCAAAUCCUAUUUCAAGAGCAUCUCUGUGACCAAGAUCACUAAACCAGAUGGGAUAGUGGAGGAGCGCCGGACUGUGGUGGACAGUGAGGGCCGGACAGAGACUACAGUAACCCGACACGAAGCAGAUAGCAGUCCUAGGGGUGG